rnacentral:rRNA from 1 species
UACGAGGGGGGCGAGCGUUGUUCGGAAUUAUUGGGCGUAAAGGGUGCGUAGGCGGUUUGGUAAGUCUUGUGUGAAAUCUACAGGCUCAACUUGUAGUCUGCACGAGAAACUGCCGGGCUUGAGUGUGGGAGAGGUGAGUGGAAUUCCUGGUGUAGCGGUGAAAUGCGUAGAUAUCAGGAGGAACACCGGUGGCGAAGGCGGGUCUCUGGGCAGUAACUGACGCUGAGGAGCGAAAGCGUGGGGAGCGAACAGGA